AUUUCCCCUCGUUGAAACUUGGAACUUCGAUUCUAUAUGGCUAGUUACAUUGUGGAAAGUGUGUUCACCACAAAAUGUAACUUAAUCCUUUCGUUAAUUGCUGUUUACAUAUUAGCAUGGACAAAUAUCACUCGCUAGUUUCAUACAUUUUCUUAAUAGCAUGCAACAUUGAGAUAUUUUCAGGGUAUUAAUCAUCUUUGGUUUUUUCAUUUUUAAAGCUUGAGAAUGCUUGAUCUUGUUGAAUUAUGCUUGUGUACAGAGUAAAAAUACUUUUGAUUCCCAUAAUUUAAUUCCAAAUUUAGUCCAUCUAUGUUUGAGAUUUGUAUAUCAACAUAAUAACAAACAAAAAAAAAAUAAAAUUGUUGAUACUUGCAUAAUGUUUCGUCUGUGGAGAUUAUAUGCUUAUUGUACUUCCAUUUGCAAUAUCAAGUCGACCUCUACUGUGUAGAUAUUUCAAAAUUAUGAUACAUUGGGAUUAUAUGAACAGUAGUCGCAAUUUGGUAAGAUUAUGUAGGUAAUUGAUUUUAAGAGAACAUUCAAAGAGUUCAUAUUGGUAGCUGUAAGGAGUAUUUCUGCUGUACCUACUCUUUUUUUUUUUUAUGAAUAAAAACUGGGUUGUAUUAAUCAGAAAGGAAACCAUAACUUGUUCCUGAGAAAAUAAAGCAUGGCCCAAACAUACACAGGCCUAUUAAAAUACUAAUAAAGAACAAAUGAAACGACAAAAGAAAGGAAAGGUAACCCAGCUUUAAGAGCUGUCAUUUCUAAAUCCUUUUGAAAAAAUCUUCUUUCUCAAUUGUAGCAGCUCCUGGAGAAGAUCAAUCGUCUGACAAAAAUAAAUGGUUCUCUUCUCAAUCUUAAACCUUCGGUUCUUCUUCAACACCAUCCGCGAUCGACUUCAGCUAUUGUAAUAUCCGGACCAUUAUUUCUCUGGGCAAGGUGAGUGGUAUUCUUCAUUUUUAAACCCCUUGUUGCCAGUAUGUGCGCAUGCUCAUUAACUGUUCGUUUGACAUGUUGAAACUUACACUCGUAGAAGGCCUUACUCAGUUCUUUAAUGUUUUGGAUGUGUGGCCCUAUUACCGAUUUAUCUCUAUUGCUGCUUUUGACUCGUUUUAUAAUUGCCAGGGAGUCUCGUUCAAUUUCCACAUAUUUUAACCCCAGAUUCUUCCCCAUUUCAAGUCCCUGUAGACAUGCAAGGGCUUCAGCUGCAAACCCUGAAGGUACAUUUUCGUUUGUUGUGGUUGUUGAAUUCAUGACAUCCCCAUUACAGUCUCUGAUGAUGAUUCCUGAGCAUGAUCUGUAGUUUUUAGUAACCACUGCAGCAUCAAAAUUGAUUUUGCAGAACCCUUGCUCCGGAGGCUUCCACAGCUCUUGAGACAUUCUUGAUGUAGGAUAUAUCUGCUUUGUGUUGUUCAGCUCUUGGAUAUACUCUAAUAUAAAUCUUGCUGUCUCUGCUCCAGAUCUCCGUCGUCCUUCAUAGAUCCAUUGAUUUCUAGCAUGCCAGAUAGCCCAGAUAGCGCAAAUGAACAUUCGGCAACUGUCGUUCUCUUUGUUUAGCAUGAACCAGGUAAACCAAUCCAAGAACUCCAAAUGAGAUAAAUCCUGGGGCCAAUCAUAUCGUAAUGUAUUCCAUGUUUCUUUUGUAACAGUGCAGUCAUGGAAUAUAUGCUCCCUGUUUUCCAGGCCUUGCUUGCAUCUUGGACAUACUCCCUCGUUUGUUAACCUUUUGAUUCUUAGAUUCACUAGAGUAGGCAAAUAGUGUAAGGUGGCUCUCCAAACUGUAAUAAGUAUUUUUGAAGGGAGGUCACUAUUCCAUAGCUUUUUGUAGCAUUUACUGAUUUCGAUUGGGUUGUAACUAUUAUUAGUAAGCAAGUUACCAUGUAAUAACAAUUUAUACCCACUUCACACUGUGUAUUCACCUGUUGACUCCCCCCUCCAAGCCAAAAAGUCGUCGUGGGGAAUUGUAGUUAGCGGAAUUUGGAGAAUUUUUUGGACAUCAUCUGUUGAGAAGGUAUGUUCGAGCAGCUCUGUUUUUCAUGACCUAUUGUUACUGUUGAUUAGAUCUGCUACCCUCGUUAUACUCUGAUUUCUCACCACCUGUUGAAUAUGUAAAUUUUCAGCAUUCGGAACCCAUAUAUCCUCUUCAAUUUGAACAUCUCGUCCGCUGCCAAUUCGCCAACAAAGUCUCGAUAACAAGAGACCCUUUGCAGCCCAUAUACUUUUCCAAGUGUAUGAGGGUAACUUUCCUAGUUCUGAGUUUAGGAACUCUAAAUUUGGAUGAUAUUUAGCUUUUAAGGUUUUCGCUAGAAGAGAAGUAGGAUUUUCAAUUAGUCUCCAGCCUUGCUUCGCGAGAAGAGCCAGGUUAAAUUUUGCAAAAUUGCGAUAUCCAAGACCUCUAUUCUCCUUCAAUUCACAUAAAUUACUCCAAGAGCACCAAUGUAUCCUGCGUUUCCCAUACCCUUUUUGCCACCAGAAAUUUACUAUUAUUUUUUCCAUGUCUUCACAUACUGAUUUCGGUAACAGAAAGAAGCCCAUCGUAUAAGUAGGAAUUGCUUGCAAAAUAGCCUCCCUGCGAUAACAACCUUGUACUUCAGCUUAUAACAACCCGUCUUUUAGUGGUGUCCAAAAUGGUAGUUUUGAAAUCCCAUUCUCCGAUGAUCGAGUACGUAAAUAUUAUUAAUUAAUAUUUAUAAGUAUAUUAUAGUGUUAUAUUAAAUUUUAACUCGAUAAUUGUAUUAAAUAAUUAGUAAUUAAGGUAUAAAGACUAAAUCCUAAA
rnacentral:lncRNA from 1 species